CAGUCGAACGAUGAACCUGGAGCUUGCUCUGGGGGAUUAGUGGCGAACGGGUGAGUAACACGUGAGUAACCUGCCCUGGACUCUGGGAUAACCCCGAGAAAUCGGAGCUAAUACCGGAUAGGACCUGGAACCGCAUGGUUUUGGGUGGAAAGUUUUUUCGGUCUGGGAUGGACUCGCGGCCUAUCAGCUUGUUGGUGAGGUAAUGGCUCACCAAGGCGUCGACGGGUAGCCGGCCUGAGAGGGUGACCGGCCACACUGGGACUGAGACACGGCCCAGACUCCUACGGGAGGCAGCAGUGGGGAAUAUUGCACAAUGGGCGAAAGCCUGAUGCAGCAACGCCGCGUGAGGGAUGACGGCCUUCGGGUUGUAAACCUCUUUUAGUAGGGAAGAAGGGCUUCGGCUUGACGGUACCUGCAGAAAAAGCACCGGCUAACUACGUGCCAGCAGCCGCGGUAAUACGUAGGGUGCGAGCGUUGUCCGGAAUUAUUGGGCGUAAAGAGCUCGUAGGCGGUUUGUCACGUCUGCUGUGAAAUCCCGAGGCUCAACCUCGGGCCUGCAGUGGGUACGGGCAGACUGGAGUGCGGUAGGGGAGAUUGGAAUUCCUGGUGUAGCGGUGGAAUGCGCAGAUAUCAGGAGGAACACCGAUGGCGAAGGCAGAUCUCUGGGCCGUAACUGACGCUGAGGAGCGAAAGCGUGGGGAGCGAACAGGAUUAGAUACCCUGGUAGUCCACGCCGUAAACGUUGGGCGCUAGAUGUGGGGACCAUUCCACGGUUUCCG
rnacentral:rRNA from 1 species